rnacentral:lncRNA from 1 species
CCCGGCUGGAGGAGGAGUUUAGCAUGCUGCAGCAGAAGGUGGAGGUCCUGAAGGAGCUGUCCCACCAGAAGGAGCUGGAGCUGCAGAAGAUACCGAGUCAGGUGGAAUGUGCACAGCAGCAGCCAGAGCAGGCGCUGUCGGCUGUGGAUGAGAAGGUGGUGCCGGCCACAGAGGCGGUGAAAAUCUACAAGUGAGUGUG